AUUACGAGCAACGCUUAAAACCCAAAGGAUUUGACGGUGUCCCAUCCCCCUAGAGGAGCCUGUUCUAUAAUCGAUAACCCCCGCUAUACCUCACCACUCCUAGCUUUCUCAGUCUGUAUACCUCCGUCGAAAGCCUACCAUAUGAAUGCUCUUAGUAGGCACAAUGAUACCCACCAACACGUCAGGUCAAGGUGCAGCUCACGCAGUGGAAAGUAAUGGGCUACAAUUUCUAAAUUAGAACAAACGAAAGACUGUAUGAAAUUACAGUCACGAAGGCGGAUUUAGUAGUAAAAAGAAAAUAGAGUGUUCUCUUUAACCCGGCUCUGGGACGCGUACACACCGCCCGUCACCCUCUUCAAUCCAUACCAUCUCUGUUUAUAACAAACCAACCCCCCCCCCAAGAAGAGGCAAGUCGUAACAUGGUAAGUGUACUGGAAAGUGCGCUUGGUAUACUCCAAAAUGUAGCUUAACCAAAGCCUCCCGCUUACACCGAGACAACACCUGUUUAAACCAGGUCAUUUUGAGCUCACAAUCUAGCCCACAUCCUACCUAUGUUGCCUUCAACUUAUUAAUUCUUUAAUAAAA
rnacentral:rRNA from 1 species